rnacentral:misc_RNA from 1 species
AGCAGCCGCGGUAAUUCCAGCUCCAAUAGCGUAUAUUAAAGUUGUUGCAGUUAAAAAGCUCGUAGUUGAAUUUCGGGAUCAAAGAAUCGGUCAUGCCUUGGUAUGUACUGGUUUUAUUGGUUCUCACCUUCUAAAGAACCAUGAUGUCAUUCAUUUGAUGUUAUGGGGAAUUAGGACUGUUACCUUGAAAAAUUAGAGUGUUUAAAGCAAGCUUACGCUUGAAUACAUUAGCAUGGAAUAAUGAAAUAGGACAUCAGAUUCUAUUUUGUUGGUUUCUAGGAUCGAUGUAAUGAUUAAUAGGGAUAGUUGGGGGCAUUAGUAUUCAAUUGUCAGAGGUGAAAUUCUUGGAUUUAUUGAAGACUAACUACUGCGAAAGCAUUUGCCAAGGAUGUUUUCAUUAAUCAAGAACGAAAGUUAGGGGAUCGAAGACGAUCAGAUACCGUCGUAGUCUUAACCAUAGACUAUGCCGACUA